GAUUGAAGAACGCAGUGAAAUGCGAUAAGUAAUGUGAAUUGCAGAAUUCAGUGAAUCAUCGAAUCUUUGAACGCACAUUGCGCCCGCCAGUAUUCUGGCGGGCAUGCCUGUUCGAGCGUCAUUACAACCCUCAGGCCCCCGGGCCUGGCGUUGGGGAUCGGCGGAGCCCCCCGUGGGCACACGCCGUCCCCCAAAUACAGUGGCGGUCCCGCCGCAGCUUCCAUCGCGUAGUAGCUAACACCUCGCGACUGGAGAGCGGCGCGGCCACGCCGUAAAACACCCAACUCUUCUGAAGUUGACCUCGAAUCAGGUAGGAAUACCCGCUGAACUUAAGCAUAUCAAUAAGCGGAGGA
rnacentral:misc_RNA from 1 species